UCCCUGGUGGUCUAGUGGUUAGGAUUUGACACUCUCACUGCCAUGGCACGGGUUCGAUUCCUGGUCAGGGAA
rnacentral:tRNA from 1 species